GAAGGAGGAGGGUCACUGCCGCUUCUCCUCCGCACGCCCCGACCAUGUGAGAUCCUUCCCGUAACAACUCGCAAAGGAUCACCGCCGGGUAUCCUUUGUGGGACAUCCCAAGCAAGAUAGGGUAUCUGAAGGACUCCUGAAGUACUAGAAUAUCCUUAAACAUGUAAAACGAAGGAUAUAUGAGAAAAGGAUGUUUGGGCACUGAUGAAUUUAGAAGCCACUGGCCGUAGUAUCUGAAGGAUGGUGAUGGGAUCGAGUCCUUCGUAGGAGUUUAACUAACUAGCUCCUGUGAAAGGAAUUGAUAGAAAAAAGGAUACGAGGGAAGGAUAAUUAAAGGAUAACUGUCACCGCUCAAGUCGUUGGUGAAGGAAAGAAGGAAUAAAGGAAGAAGAAAUAAUAAAGUUAAAUGAAACAGCUUAAGUAAAAUUGAGGAGAGAGGGAGACAGAAGAAAGAAAAAGUGAAAAUGGCAGAAAAAUACAAAACAACGGUGAGCAAAUAAUAAAACUUAAGUGAAAGUCAAAGACGUAAAAAAACUAAAAGAAAGACAGAAAAAAAUAAAUAAAUAAACAUUACAGUGAAAACUAAGAACGAAAUAAAAUAAAAUAAGGAGCACAACAAAGCAAUAAUAACCACCAACAAUAAAAGAGAAACCUACAGUGAACGACAAUUAAAAAGGGAAAAAAAAAACGAAAAGCAGGUUAAGGAAAAAAAAAAAUAAAAAAACACAGGCAGGAAAGGAAGGGAAGUUAACAGCUCAUAAAAAAAUAAAAAAAAAUUGUCGUGAAGGAAAGUUGAAGAAUAAGAAAAUAACCGGACAUUGGAAUUCUCGUAAAAAUGUCAGGUUCAGGCGAAAUGCGACAAAAUUGUGAGUGCGUGAGAGUAUUUGAGCGUCGUAAUGAAAAGCCGAAGUAAUAACGAUAACAAUAACAAAGGGAUCGCGGCAACAGGAGCCCAAGGAUGAAGAGUGAAUGGAGGCAAUGAAGAAUAAUGAAUAAUGCCCACAACCAACGUAAAAAUGGAAGAAAACACCAAGAAAGGACGGAUAAUGAAUGGGAAACUCUAACUUUUCAACACCCGGAGAGAAAAAUAUAUACCUACAGAAAAAUAACAGUGAAGUGCUGAGGAUGAUAAUGAUGACGUCACGAGCAGCGGAGAUCUGGGCCUGUCACGUGAUCCUCCUACUGUUUCUGACGCUGAGGGCAGGUGAGGCCCUCAGGAUCUCAGGAAUGGAGGUUCCCAGAGUGGUGGUGUCCGGGUCCUCGGUGCAGCUGGUGUGUAACUACGAAUACAACAGAGAGAGGGAGGACCCGCUGUAUUUCCGUUAAGUGGUACAGGGAACGUGAAUCAGUUUUACGAGUAUAUACCGAAGAGGGUGCCGCAAGUCAGGGUGUAUCCGCUGCCCAACCUUAAUGUAGACGAGAGAGGCAGCACGCAGGCCACUGUUCUCCUGAAGGGCGUGACGCGGGCCUCUUCAGGGACCUUCCGUUGUGAAGUGAUGGGGGACAAGCCCUUGUUUGAAACUGAUGAUAAGGCCAAGAAUAUGACAGUCGUGGACAUACCCACAUGGGGACCUGAACUGACGGGCGUGAUACACAAGGGCAUGGGCGGCGUGGGCGGAAUGGGUGGCGGAGGACGUGGGGAGCAAGCAACGCGGGAGGAGAUCACACAAGGCUCUAGAGUUCGCCCAGGUGAUGUCAUGUCCGUCAGGUGUCUCUUAGGCCACUCUGACCCCCAAGCUGUGGUCACCUGGCUGGUUAAUUCCCGCCCCCUCCGCCCCCCCACACACACCUCAGGGUCCUGACCAACAGCGACGAGGAGAACGGCCAACGCAUCCAGAUCUCGGAGCUGGAGGCAGUGGUGACGGAGGCCUGGUUCGUGCGGGGCGCCCUUUCCCUGACUUGCCACGCUCGUGUGUCCACCGUCUACCACAGCAACGCCACCGUCACGCUACUUCACGCCGACCAUCCGAAGCCAGCCGGGUUUGGAUGGUUCUCCGCGGCUUCCACCCCACAAGGCUCCCUACUGCUGCAGCUACUUCUCCCGCUGCUGUUCCUGCUGUGACGUCGCUGCGGUGGUGGUGGUGGUGGUGGUGGUGGUGGUGGUGGUGAUGAAUGAGGGGCACAAAAGAGGAAGUUUAUUUACUCCUGUCUAUUGAUUGUGGCUAGCGUCUGUUUGUCUGUCUGUCUGUGUGUCUGUCUGCUGAUCUAGGUAUCUUUCUUUCGUUCUUUUCCUUUCUUUUCUUUCUAUUCUUAGUAUUCCAUAUUCUUUUCAUUCCCUUUGUUCGUCUCUGUCUGUCUUUCUGUCUAUCUAUCUAUCUAUCUCUCUAUCUAUUUAUUUAUCUAUCUAUCUAUCUAUCUAUCCAUUUACAGCUUUGUCAUAUUUUUUUUAACUUACAUCUUGUCUUUCUCUCGUUCUAUCUGUUUAUUUUCCUCUUCCCAUAUCUCUCUCUCUCUCUCUCUCUCUCUCUCUCUCUCUCUCUCUCUCUCUCUCUCUCUCUCUCUCUCUCUCUCUCUCUCUCUCUCUCUCUCUCUCUCUUUCCAUAGACAACGAUAAAUAUUCCUCUUCAGCCUCUAAGGUCAAUUUCACAACAAAAACACGAAUAAUCACAAAAAGAAAAAAAAUUCAAAAAUCACAAAAAUGGCCACUUGAUGCUAACUCUAGAGAAGCAAAACAACCUGUAGAAAACACCUGAGCAUGAUACUAAUUAACCUGUACGUAUACAUAGUAAGCAAUCCUCUACACAAGUAUACAUAGAUUAUAAGGGCGAUCCCAACCCUGUAUAAUGUAUGUGUGUUGCGUCAUGAUACCGGUUUUUUAACACACACACACACACAUACACACACACACACACACAUAUAUACUCACACACACACACACACACACACACACACACACACACACACGGUAAACACUCCACGCUCAAGGCAUAGUAGUAGAUUAAUGUGUAUGUACCUUCCUAAAGUACUUUUUCGCCUUAAUCAUAACACAAGGUUUGCGUCGACGAUACAAAGAAGACAAUACGAAUGAAUAAGUGACUGAAUAGAUGAUUAGAUAGAUAGAUGGAUGAAUAAGUGAUUGGAUGACUGGAUGAUUGGAUGGAUGGAUAAAUAAAUGAAUGAAUGAAUGAAUGAAAUAUCUUUACCACAACACAAAAAUUCUAUAGUCAUUGAUACAAAGAAGACAAUAUGAAUGACUGAAUGAAUGAAUGAAUGAGCUUUACUCUAACACAAGAUUCUAUGAAAUGAUAACUGAGAAGACAAUAUGAAUGAAUGAAUAAAAGUAAGAUUGAAUUAAUGAAUGAUCUAAACUAUGACACAAAAAUUGAUAGAUGACACAGAAAAUACAGCACGAAUGAAUGAAUAAACAAAUAAAUGAAUGAAUGAAUGAAUGAAUGGCCUCUUAUAUAUACACACAUAUGUCCACGCCUAGUAUUAUGAUAGAGCUUAGUAAUGUAUAACCCACGCCUGAAUUAUACACCCUGGAAUCUCCUACACUGAAGGGAGAAGAGUGAGGAAUGAAGACUGUACAGUGAACGUUAAGUGUCUGAGGUGAACCGUGCCUAAACGUUUAUGUAAAUAGACUGUGUUUAUAUUAACAUUUGAAUAUGGCGGAUUCUACGCCUGAUUUUAGGAUAUUUAUUGAUAUAUAUGGCUUCACGUCUUAAGUGUUUUCUUUUCUUCUUUCUUUUCUAUUUUCUUUUACCUUUUUUUUUUUAGAUAUGUCACUUUUGUUCUUCCCUCUAUCACCAUUUUUUUUCUAUCUCCCUUUUGCAAAAUUUGGGUUCGUUUUUAGACGAUUUCUUUAGGAGAACGUUAGUAUUGAUAACUCUUUGUACUUUUCCUUUACUUUCGUUCUAUAAUUACUUGUGUUUAAUGAGAUUUUUUUUCCUUUUAUUUUAAGGGAGAGUUAGUGGAAAUAUCAUUUUGUUUACCCGUUUGCUUUCCUUUUAUAUUCGGUUGGGUUUACAGUAUUAUUCUAAGAUUAUUUCUCUCUAAGGGGAUUGUAGAAAUGCCCCUUUUGUCUCCGUUUUCCUUUAAGUGCGUGAGAAUAUUGUAAAUUAUCUUAUAGUGUAUGAGGUUAAGAGUGGAAGAUAUGUGAGCAUUCUUGGCAAGUCGAGAAGAAGAAGAAGAAGAAGAAGAAGAAGAAAAAGAAGAAAAAGAAGAUGAUGAUGAUGAUGAUGAUGAACAGAAGGACGAAGGAUUGUGGUGUUGUUGGUGGUGAGGCCGAUUAGAAAAAGACGAAGAAACAGAACAACAACAACAACAACAACAACAACAAGUACUAUGGCUGCCAGGCGACUUAAUAACACAUUAUUAUUAUCAUCACAUUUUUAUUUUUAUUUAUUUUUUUUUUUGUAAAGCAUAUAUCAUACACACCUGUACGUAUGUAAGAUAAUAUAAACACACACACACACACACACACACACACACACACACACACACACACACACACACACAUACACACACAGUUGUCGUCUAACCAUUGUCUUCCUACUCGUGUGUGUCAUAAGGAAUCGCUUUGUUCUCAAAUAAAACAUCUGUGUCGCUCC